CUUUUCUCUCCCCUUUUAUUUUCCACCCCUACCCUGCUCUCUUUACUACUCAUAUCUUUUAGCGUUUUACUGUCACCAAUGUAUGAAACUGUUUGUCUUCAAUAAAACGCUUUUCUUAAAAAAGGUCACUCAGCAUUCAAACCAGGCCUGUUUUUGUGUAUGAGCUUUCAGUGUGAACAUCCACCAUUAUACACUUUGAUAGGUCAAGACGUAAUGUUGUUUUGGAUGUUACAAACACAUAAGACCUUUUGUAGCCGCACUUUAACUAGUUAAUUUGCUAAAUCCAUAUCUUGUAAUUCCACCCAUACCAUAAAGGAGGGUUACUGUGCUCUAAUUGUAAAGACACAAUGAGUUAUGAACGAGAAACUAAUUCCAUUCCACAAGCACACACAAAAUCCAGCGGCUCAGCACUAAUAGGGUUAGUUAUGUGCCCUCCUUCUGUACAUUUUAGAUUUAUGCCCAUCAUCUGUAGCCCUGGUACUGAACCAUUAAAUGAAUCUGUAUUGUUGUAGAUUUAGCAUUUGCACAUAGGAUAAUUUUGUCUUCAUUUGCACCAUCGAUCACAAAACACUCUACCCUUCCCUUUAUUGCUCAUCCAUUUCUGUCGUAUGUGUUUUAUAUUUAUUAAUUGCCGAUUUGUUUCUUAGAUUUCUAACAUUUUUCCUUUGACUCUUCUGUUUUGACGUCAUUAAAGUGCAGUGAUUUAAAUGUACUUUUGUGUCCUCACAAUUUGCUUUCCCUCAGGAGUGCUGCUGUAUGGGUUCACACACAUACGCUAAAACACACAGACACACACUACAACAUCCACACUCAACGCUACUGUACCAUUGAGCUUAGACGCCAACACAUCACUGUUUUUGUUUUCAAACAAACACAUCUAAUGAAUGAUCCCACCUUUGUGUUUUUGCAGUCUUUAACAUCGUUUAAUGUUAAUAGCCUGACGUCCCCACACGGUAAUGUUGUAUGAUUAACAUAAUUCAUUUUCCUGGACUGUGCUAUAUAUACUGCAUGUGGUGUUGCUGUGUAAGAGCACUAGCUCGUGCUAGCAGCUCAAAAAUUUUUAAAGGGGAGGUGCUGCGCUGUCCAGGACGGGACACACGGGACCAGGCAGUAAAUACUCACCCCUUUAAUCAGCAGUUGUGUAGGUACAGUACACAGUCAAAGGAGAAAGGCGUAGGUAUACGAGCAUUGGUGAGCCACUACUAUUCACUCUCUCCUUUGUUUAAGUUAAUCUUUCUUUGUCUCUCUCAUUUUCUUUUGAAGCUUUUUGCUUAUGGAUGCUGAUAAAUUAAAAAAAAAAAAAUAAUCGAGAGAGAACGAGCUGAUUGAUUUGUUUUUUUUCCUUUUUCAUCUGCAAACGAAUGAGAUUCUUCGUUAGUUGUCGAUGUGUUGUCUUUACAUACCUGUUCUGUAUGGAUGUUAAUGAAUGCGUAAAUGGAUGUUUGGAUGUGUAUUUACAUAUAACGUGGUGGGGAUUAAAGGUGUGACUGAAUACAUACAUCCAUGGGUGGGUUUUUGUGCUCAUUGUUGCAUACAUAGAGGUUAGCUUCAGACAUUUGAUGCUGCAGAUCGGAAUGUGAAAUGUGGCGAGCGUGUGAAAGCGAGUGAGAGAGACUGUGUGAGUGUCGCUGGCUGGUACCUGUUUGUGCGAGUGUAGACGUGUUUGACUGCAACUGGGGGACUUAUUUCAGUGGAUUUGUCUCCCCACCCUAACGUGUCACCGUGUCACUCCUUUAGGUGGAAGAAAAAUCCAAACGAGAGGAGCUGGAGAGAAUUUUGGAAGAAAACAACCGAAAGAUUGCUGAUGCUCAGGCUAAGCUGGCUGAGGAUCAGCUACGUAUAGUGGAAGAACAAAGGAAGAUCCACGAGGAACGCAUGAAGCUAGAGCAGGAGAGGCAGAAACAACAGAAAGAGGAACAGAGGAUGAUUUUGGGGAAGGGCAAGUCCCGACCUCGCCUCUCCUUCACUCUCAAAGCUACAGAGUGACUUCUCUUCUCUUCUCUUCUGAUGUGUGCUUCAUGUUGAAGUGAAUCAGAGUCCCAAAGAGAGGUCUGCCCUGUGCUCUCUGCCCACAUAAAUUACUCUUCGAAAACCCAGGAAAAUCUCACGCUUCAAAACCGGACUUGCAGGCACCACCACAGACUUGCAGAUCAGCUGCCGCCAUCUGCUUUUUUUUUUCAGUGUGUCGUAUUGAUAUUUGACACCGUUAUGCUGGAUGCACCUUCAGAAACAGCCCCCCCCCAAUGGCAAGCAAAUAAGAAUGAAUACGUGUAAAUAUCUGUGUAUAUGAGUGUGCAUGGCUGGUUGGUCAAUAUAUAUCAGUGGUUUGGGAGCUCUGUUGGUACAAGCUCAGUUUAACUACUGUUCUUGCGUUCAAAGCAUAGGGGGAAGUACACAAAAAUGUUUUGAAAAAUGUAAAUUGGCAAACUUUGUUUUGUGCUUAUUAGUGAAUGUAUGUGCAGGAGUGUGUGAGAGCAUUUCAUAUUUUUUAGAUCCCGGACUGAACACCUCAAAACAUAGAGUUUCUAAAAUGCUGCUUAACACAUUGUUCCCAUAAUCACCUGAUAUGAGCUGCGUUUAUAGCAUUGUAACCUAGAUCACAUUUGUCCUCUUUGAUACACCUUACUUAAAUCGCUCAUUUUUGAAACGUAGAACAUAUGUGUGACCAGAACUUAAUUAGCAUUCACAAUACAAACAUUUUGGUGAAAAAAAAAAAGGUUACAAUGUUACAAAGUCUUGUAAUGUGCCUAGUGUUCUGUUGGUACCUUAAGGAAAUCGGGAAUCACAGGUAAGACUAGUUAGGGUGUGUAUGCGAGCGAGUUUGUGUGGGUGUAUGAGUGUAUGCUAGAAGGGUGUUCUUGUCUUGUGGUAAAUUACCCCUUUCCUUGUGAACUGGGACAUUUAGUGUAAUGACCAAUAAAUCCCAUCAACACAA